UACGGGGGGAGCAAGCGUUGUUCGGAUUUACUGGGCGUAAAGGGCGCGUAGGCGGCCACCGCAAGUCGGUUGUGAAAUCUCUGGGCUUAACCCAGAAAGGUCAACCGAUACUGCGGGGCUAGAGUGCAGAAGGGGCAACUGGAAUUCUUGGUGUAGCGGUGAAAUGCGUAGAUAUCAAGAGGAACACCUGCGGCGAAGGCGGGUUGCUGGGCCGACACUGACGCUGAGGCGCGAAAGCUAGGGGAGCGAACGGG
rnacentral:rRNA from 1 species